AUCAUUGUGUGCCAUAUAGAUUGGUUGUUCUCUUAACCAAAAAGUGUAGAGACACUGAUAUAGCAUACAGAUGAGAUGUAGGAGUACAUUGUCAUCGAAUAAUGACUCACCUAUGGAAUGCUCUGCUAUCAAGGAUAGCUUGUGAAGGAUAUGGGCAUAAAUAUUUCUCCGACCUGAGAUCACCAUGGUGACUUGCAAGCAACUCACUAUACUUUGAUGUUGAACUAUCUGUAUUUCUAAUACAGUGAUGAAAGGCUACUGGGUACAGUCAAGUACUUGUGAAGUCGGUGUGUG
rnacentral:lncRNA from 1 species